CUUGAAGAUUCCCGUCCCUCCACUUGCAAUGAAUUCCGGCAAUUGGGUUUGCCGAACAUCAUCGGGAGGACCCUCAACGGUGAGGCUCAAAUCGAGCCUCUGCUGGAGCAUCUCAUCACCACCACUCCCACCAACAGUUUUAUAUGUAGAGGAGGAGAGGGAAGGGGAUGAAUACGGCAAGUAGUCAUCAUCGGAAGAGUCCAAGUAGCGUUCAGAAACAGGGUGUGGGAUGUUAUCGAGGCUAUGUUUUCUGAGUUUGUUGUGUUUCUUCUGGCCAGAGUUGCUACGUAGCUGUUGGCUGUAGGAAUGCAUCCUGCGAUUAGGCGGUGGGACUUGACUUAGCCCCGCCAAAGCUUCUCGGUCCUCGUCUUCUUCAAUUCUAUCCUCCAUAGUAGUUGUUGUUGUUAUUGGGUGUCAAGAAUCUUGAAAAGUUGG
rnacentral:misc_RNA from 1 species